rnacentral:rRNA from 1 species
AAGUCGAGCGGGAAAGCCCGCAAGGGUGAGUACAGCGGCGCACGGGUGCGUAACACGUGGGUAAUCUGCCCAGAAGCCCGGAAUAACCUUCCGAAAGGAAAGCUAAUACCGGAUGAGACCACGGGGACCUCGGUUCCCGCGGGAAAAGGUGGCCUCUGCAUGCAAGCUAUCACUUCUGGAUGAGCCCGCGGCCCAUCAGCUCGUUGGCGGGGUAAUGGCCCACCAAGGCUACGACGGGUAGCUGGUCUGAGAGGACGAUCAGCCACACUGGAACUGAGACACGGUCCAGACUCCUACGGGAGGCAGCAGUGGGGAAUCUUGCGCAAUGGGCGAAAGCCUGACGCAGCAACGCCGCGUGUGUGAUGAAGGUCUUCGGAUCGUAAAGCACUGUCGGGAGGGACGAAUAAGGGCCGGGUGAACAAUCCGGUCCGAUGACGGUACCUCCAAAGGAAGCACCGGCUAACUCUGUGCCAGCAGCCGCGGUAAUACAGAGGGUGCAAGCGUUGUUCGGAAUUAUUGGGCGUAAAGCGCGUGUAGGCGGCUCUGCAAGUCGGAUGUGAAAGCCCUCGGCUUAACCGAGGAAGUGCGUUCGAUACUACGGAGCUUGAGUACCGGAGAGGGUGGCGGAAUUCCCGGUGUAGAGGUGAAAUUCGUAGAUAUCGGGAGGAACACCAGUGGCGAAGGCGGCCACCUGGACGGCUACUGACGCUGAGACGCGAAAGCGUGGGGAGCAAACAGGAUUAGAUACCCUGGUAGUCCACGCUGUAAACGAUGAGCGCUAGGUGUUGUGGGUGUUGACCCCUACAGUGCCGCAGCUAACGCAUUAAGCGCUCCGCCUGGGAAGUACGGCCGCANGGGCUAAACUCAAAU